UAACAUGUCUAUAUAUACAUUAUAUUAUUAUUAUAUAUGGGUAUAAUGUGGGAGGUAACAUGUCUAUAUACACAUUAUAUUAUUAUUAUAUAUGGGUAUAAUGUGGGAGGUAACAUGUCUAUAUAUACAUUAUAUUAUUAUUAUAUAUGGGUAUAAUGUGGGAGGUAACAUGUCUAUAUAUACAUUAUAUUAUUAUUAUAUAUGGGUAUAAUGUGGGAGGUAACAUGUCUAUAUACACAUUAUAUUAUUAUUAUAUAUGGGUAUAAUGUGGGAGGUAACAUGUCUAUAUACACAUUAUAUUAUUAUUAUAUGGGUAUAAUGUGGGAGGUAACAUGUCUAUAUACACAUUAUAUUAUUAUUAUAUAUGGGUAUAAUGUGGGAGGUAACAUGUCUAUAUACACAUUAUAUUAUUAUUAUAUAUGGGUAUAAUGUGGGAGGUAACAUGUCUAUAUACACAUUAUAUUAUUAUUAUAUAUGGGUAUAAUGUGGGAGGUAACAUGUCUAUAUACACAUUAUAUUAUUAUAUAUGGGUAUAAUGUGGGAGGUAACAUGUCUAUAUACACAUUAUAUUAUUAUUAUAUAUGGGUAUAAUGUGGGAGGUAACAUGUCUAUAUAUACAUUAUAUUAUUAUUAUAUAUGGGUAUAAUGUGGGAGGUAACAUGUAGAUACAGUGCAAUCAAAGUAUUCAGACCCCUUGACUUUUUCCACAUUUUGUUAUGUUACAGCCUUAUUCUAAAAUGGAUUCUUCUUUUUCUAUCUACACACAAUAGCCCAUAAUGACAAAGCGAAAAUAGGUUUUUAACCCAUACCCUUUGAUAUGAGACUCGAAAAUGAGCUCAGGUUCAUCCUGUUUCCAUUGAUCAUUCUUGAGAUGUUUCUACAACUUGAUUGGAGUUCACCUGUGGUAAAUUCAAUUGAUUGGACAUGAUUUAGAAAGGAACACACCUGUCUAUACAAGGUCCCACAGUUGACAGUGCAUGUCAGAGCAAAAACCAAGCCGUGAGGUUGAAGGAAUUGUCUGUAGAGCGCUGAGACAGGAUUGUGUCGAGGCACAGAUCUGGGAAAGGGUACCAAAAAAUGGCUGUAGCAUUGAAGGUCCCCAAGAACACAGUGGCCUCCGUAAUUCUUAAAUGGAGGAGUUUGGAACCAGCGAAACUCUUCCUGGAGCUGGCCUGCCGGCCAAACUGAGCAAUCGGGGGAGAAAGGCCUUGGUCAGGGAGGUGACCAAGAACCCAAUGGUCACUCUGACAGAGCUCUAAAGUUCCUCUGUGGAGAUGGGAGAACCUUCCAGAAGGACAACCAUCUCUGCAGCACUCCACCAAUCAGGCCUUUAUGGUAGAGAGGCCAGACGGAAGCCACUCCUCCGUAAAAGGCACAUGACAGCCCGUUUGGUGUUUGCCAAAAAGCACCUAAAGGACUCAGACCAUGAGAAACAAGAUUCUCUGGUGAACUCUUUGGCCUGAAUGCCAAGCUUCACGUCUGGAGGAAACCUGGCACCAUCCCUAUGGUGAAGCAUGGUGGUGGCAGCAUCAUACUGUGGGAAUGUUUUUUAGUCGCAGAGACUGGGAGACGAGUCAGGAUAGAGGGAAAGAUGAACGGAGCAAAGUACAGAGAGAUCGUUGAUGAAAACCUGCUCCUGAGCGCUCAGGACAUCAGACUUGGUAGAAGGUUCACCUUCCAACAGGACAAUGACCCUAAGCACACAGCCAAGACAACGCAGGAGUGGCUUCGGGACACGUCUCUGAAUGUCCUUGAGUGGCCCAGCCAGAGCCCGGACGUGAACCCGAUCGAACAUCUCUGAAGAGACCUGAAAAUAGCUGUGCAGCGACGCUCCCCAUCCAAUCUGACAGAGCUUGAGAGGAUCUGCAGAGAAGAAUGGGAGAAACUAUACAACUACAGGUGUGCCAAGCUUGUAGUCUCAAGCUAUUUUUUAUUAUUAUUUUUUAUUAUUAUUAGUCUCAAGCUCUGUUGUACCAAAGACUCAAGGCUGUAAUCGCUGCCAAAGGUGCUUCAAAGUACUGAGUAAAGAGUCUGAAUACUUAUGUAAAUGGAGUAGUUCAGUUUUCUUUUUAAUAAAUUAGAAAUGUCUAAACCUGUUUUUGCUUUGUCGUUAUUUGGUAUUGUGUGUAGAUUGAGGGGGAAACAAUUUAAUCCAUUUUAGAAUAAAGCUGUAACCUACACACUACCCCAUAAGACUUAGGGUAAAAACAGGUUCGGGCGAAAACAGGUUCGGGCGAAAACAGGUUCGGGCGAAAACAGGUUCGGGCGAAAACAGGUUCGGGCGAAAACAGGUUCGGGCGAAAACAGGUGAGGGCGAAAACAGGUGAGGGCGAAAACAGGUGAGGGCGAAAACAGGUGAGGGCGAAAACAGGUGAGGGCGAAAACAGGUGAGGGCGAAAACAGGUGAGGGCGAAAACAGGUGAGGGCGAAAACAGGUUUGGG